UGGCGAUGCCUCUUAAGCAUGCAAGUCGAGCGGGCUUAUUCGGGCAACUGGAUAAGUUAGCGGCGAACUGGUGAGUAACACGUAGGUAAUCUGCCGUAGAGUGGGGGAUAACCCAUGGAAACAUGGACUAAUACCGCAUAUACUCUUGCUACAUAAGUAGAGUAGAGGAAAGGAGCAAUCCGCUUUACGAUGAGCCUGCGGCCUAUUAGCCUGUUGGUGGGGUAACGGCCUACCAAAGCUACGAUAGGUAGCCGACCUGAGAGGGUGACCGGCCACAUUGGGACUGAGAUACGGCCCAGACUCCUACGGGAGGCAGCAGCUGAGAAUCUUCCACAAUGGACGAAAGUCUGAUGGAGCGACAUCGCGUGAGGGAUGAAGGCCUUCGGGUUGUAAACCUCGGAAAUUAUCGAAGAAUGAGUGACAGUAGAUAAUGUAAG
rnacentral:rRNA from 1 species